GCGCGAUUUAAGUUAGACGAUCUGGUCACCGUUUAGUAACAUAUUGCAAGCUUUCAAAUACUUGUAAGAUCUAGUUACGUUGUUACAUCAGAUCGACAGAUGCAGAAGCCAUCGCUUUGCUAAGUUCAAUUUCAGAUGAAAACAUUUUACGAAAGAAGUCGAGAACACUUUUCUGCGAUUGAUCCAUCUUGUUUUCAUAAAGUAAAAUAAUUCUAAAUGAAAGAC
rnacentral:lncRNA from 1 species